rnacentral:rRNA from 1 species
UUGCACGGGGGGACUCCUACGGGAGGCAGCAGUAGGGAAUCUUCCGCAAUGGGCGAAAGCCUGACGGAGCAACGCCGCGUGAGUGAUGAAGGUUUUCGGAUCGUAAAGCUCUGUUGCCAAGGAAGAACGUAUCAUAGAGUGCAGGGAGGAGUGCACGGGGGACAGAAGCAGAGCAAGAGAAGCAGCAU